ACCUUCACUUUGAAACGGAACGGAUUAAGCAUCUGCCAUUUCAGCUCACUGUUAGCCUGUAUGUCUCCUGAGGUCGAGUCUCUGUGCUGGAUGCAACGCUUAUGUACAAGAACUGAAGCAAAUGGGUAGGAUACGAACAGCAUUUCGGUCUUGUAGCAGGGAACGUUAAACGCGGAGGACAGUGAAGAGGAGAGACCGAGGAACUGGUCUAAAGAUUCUUGCCUGCUUCCCAAGGUUUGUGUGGCAUGGUCUCUUUAUCCAUCAUGUGAGAACCUUCUAAAGCACAGUCUUACGUACCCCUCCAAGCCGCAUGCAUAUGAUUGUGAUAGAAUCUAUCUAAAUACCCUCUUGCUACCUCAUUCUCUUUGGUCAUCUGCGCCUGAUAUAUAGGACUGUGGAAGUAGCAACGGCCAUUUGCCUGCCUGGAUGUAUAUAGAUGACAAACUAGUGAUACUCCAGAGAAGGGGACAUUGGAGGGGGAAUGGCAGGGCUUGCCAAGAGGCUCCUGGCCAUUCUUCUAUGCCUGUUGCUGUUAGCUCAUCAGCAGAAGGCAUACGGCUUGAAAGGCAUUCAUCUUUUCUUCAGAAGACAAGGGAACAAGCCGCGGAUGCUUGCUGAAAGGGCAGUUGCCAGCCUCCACAGCAAGGGAUACCCAGCCAAGAGAACUUCAUCGGUUGAUCCAAACAGGAUGAGUGAGAGAAGAGUCCGGAGGGGGUCUGAUCCCAUACACAACAGAUGUUGAUGCUUCGGCAGAUACCAGAUAGUGGAUCCGAUUUGUGCCACUGAUGAAGGGACACCAGCAAUACAUCAAAUCGGGUUGUAGCACUUGAUGUGAAUAUCCCAAAGGUGUCUUUUUUUUUUUCAUUUUCAUGUUGUCUUCUAUUUUUUUGUUUCGACUUUGUUCUACAGUUUCAUUGUGGAUCAUUUAUGUCCUUAAUCCGCAGUAGAUAUAGUUGUAAACAAGCUUCUUCUAAAAUGAUGUUUAGGUUCUGUAUUAAUCAAGCAGUCGUUUUGUACAAUGCGCCAAUAUAUUUGGACAUCUGUUUGAAGUUUGACUCAGUUUUUUUUUUGCGGGUAGAAGUUUGACUCAGUUUCCAACAAGGAAUUGAGGGGUAUUAAGGUUGCUUUGUGACCGUCCCUUGUAAAUUAUCUUAUGGCUUUGUGUUUUUUUUUUGUUUGGCCCUAGGGAUA